rnacentral:rRNA from 1 species
UACGAAGGGGGCUAGCGUUGUUCGGAAUUACUGGGCGUAAAGGGCGCGUAGGCGGCCUCGUCCGUCCGGCGUGAAAUGCCUGGGCUCAACCUAGGAAUUGCGCUCGAUACAGCGAGGCUAGAGUGUGGGAGAGGUUGGUGGAAUUCCCAGUGUAGAGGUGAAAUUCGUAGAUAUUCGGAAGAACACCAGUGGCGAAGGCGACUUACUGGACACAUAUUGACGCUGAGGUGCGAAAGCGUGGGGAGCAAACAGG